AUUGAACGCUGGCGGAAUGCUUUACGCAUGCAAGUCGAACGGCAGCACGGACUUCGGUCUGGUGGCGAGUGGCGAACGGGUGAGUAAUGUAUCGGAACGUGCCCAGUCGUGGGGGAUAACGUAGUGAAAAUUACGCUAAUACCGCAUACGAUCUAUGGAUGAAAGCGGGGGAUCGCAAGACCUCGCGCGAUUGGAGCGGCCGAUAUCAGAUUAGGUAGUUGGUGGGGUAAAGGCCCACAAAGCCAACGAUCUGUAGCUGGUCUGAGAGGACGACCAGCCACACUGGAACUGAGACACGGUCCAGACUCCUACGGGAGGCAGCAGUGGGGAAUUUUGGACAAUGGGCGAAAGCCUGAUCCAGCCAUUCCGCGUGCAGGAUGAAGGCCCUCGGGUUGUAAACUGCUUUUGUACAGAACGAAAAGGUUUCUACUAAUACUAGGAGCUCAUGACGGUACUGUAAGAAUAAGCACCGGCUAACUACGUGCCAGCAGCAGCCGCCG
rnacentral:rRNA from 1 species